GGGUGGGCGGAGCCGCGGCCGGGCAGUUCAUUAUGUUGGACAGGGCGCGUCUGCGCCUCCGGCCGCCGCGGCUCCCGGGGCCUCCGCCUGCAGCCGGCGGCGGAACGAGGGCAGGCGGCUGAGACAGGCGAGCUAUUUGCAUUCCCCGGCAGUCAUUUUUAUAUGCGGAGGUAAUGAAGUUGUCAGCGGCGCCCCGAGUGUGGCAGAGCCUGAUAUUCAAAUCGCCCUGCCCGCUCCGCCUGCUCCCGCCCGCUGGUCCCGGGAGCCCCAGGCUGCGCGCGCCCGCACCGCAUCGCCGCUUUGCCCCGCGACCGCGCGCGCCUCCUCGUCCUCCCCCGCGCCUUUGUUUCCGUCUCCUUCUCCUUUCCCUCCUCUUUUGUGUCGGGCCAGACUCAGCCCCAGAAACCAGCCACCCUGCCGCGUCCGACUGCCAGGGAUCCCUCACGCCGCGAGGUGGAGUCUCGCUCUGUCGCCCAGGCUGGAGUACAGUGGUGCGAUCUUGGCUCCCUGCAACUUCUGCCUCCCAGGUUCAAGCGAUUUUCCUGCCUCAGCUUCCUGAGUAGCUGGGACUACAGGAAGAGACACUAGAGAGACACUCAGCUGCAGUGAGAAUACACAGGCAUCUUCAAGUACCAGAGAUGUCUCCAAGAGCACCAGCAACCCCAGCUAUCUGGAUCUGAAGUGGAUAUGCUCAGAGACAUCCUGGCCCACCCCAAAGAAGAUGCUGCUGCACUCAGAAGACGCCAGAGCUAGCCACCACCCACACUGCAAGUCUGGAAGCUCUGCAAGGACCCAGCAAGGCAGCCUGCUCAGCGAAGGCUUUGUCUCCUGUGGCAGGAAGAGCAACAUUAAGAACAAGAACCCCGGGCUGGACUACCCCUGAGAUUUAAUGACCAGAGCUGAGACCCCCAAGACCACAAUGACUAUGGAGGGCUGUCAUUACCCUGCCUGACCCUCUAAUGCCUCUCAGUUCAAGGAGGCCACUGAGUGAAACUGAAGGCUGGUUUUCCUUGGAAGCCAGCGGCCCAUCCACCUGCUCCACUUCCCUGCCUCUUGCAGCCUCCGCUCAAACACUGUCGUGGCUUGGCAGCACUACAAGUAUUUCAGGGGCUGCCAAGCUGCUCUCCUGUUUCCUCUUCCUUGGGGCUGAUUGCAUCCCAUGAUGUGCCCAGGUUUUGAGAUGCUCCUCGUGAAUGAAAAUAGGACUGUCUGGUUCCUCCAUCCAUAGCAAGGGAGCCUAGACAGAAAUAACUUCUGUGCAUUUCUCCAGCUACAUUUAGCUGAAAAUAUGUCUACGUGAGGUUAACUGUAUUUACCCAAUGCCAGAUACCUGAAAGAGUGUGAAAAAUUAAGGGAAAACUAGAAAAUACAGAAAUAUAUCAAGAAGAAAAAAAAUUUAAAAAUGACCCAAAAUCCCACCAACCAGAGACAGCUAUUAAUGAUUGUGGUAUAUUUAUUGAAUUUACUAAAGUCAUGCUAUACGCUAGGCACUGUGGAGGGACUGCAGAAAGACUUCAAGGACUGCACCGUCUUGUUAGAAAGAUGCCUAGACAACAUUUGAGAAACGCUGAUCAUGUCUGAUGACACAUAACUGCUAACAGUUACAUGGAAUUUUCUAUAUGCUAUAUACAAACAUACAAAUAUAUGUAUGUAUAUUUACUCAGCUCUCACAACAGCUACUACUGUUAUUAUGAAUCCUGUUUUAUAGUGAGAAAACUGAAACAUGGAGAGGUUAAGUAAUUUGCCCAAGAUCACAUAGCUACUAAGUGGUGGAACUGUGAUUAGAAUCCAGGCAUUCAGGCUCCAGAGUUCAUACUCUUCACAUACCACAUCUAUCUUGAAUAUAACAAUGUAGAGAAAAAGAAUUAUAGCAAGCAUAUGUCUAGGUAAGCAUUUUCCAGAAGUGACUGUUUUUUUGCAUUGGGUUUGUAAACUUUCAACAAUAAAGCAGGUUGGACUUUAUAUCAGUCAAAGCAGAAUAUUCUGAUGUCACCUUCCCCAAUGUUUAGGAUGUUAAUGAGAAUUGCUAAUCCAAGAGAAGAAAAUAAUCUCAUCUAAUUUGGGUAAGUCAAUUAUUUGAAAGUAGAAGAACCACCCUUCCACCUCUCUUGUUCUAAGGAACCUCUGGGGGAAGUACUGGAAAAAUAAUGCUUUCUAAUAAGCCCAAUAGGGCUUUUGAUUUGUAAUAACUAUUUUAAUAAGUAUCAGUUCAAUUCCUAUUAUUUUUAAGAAGUUCAUUGAAUGAAUUAAAGAACAAAUGAAUGAGCAAUGCUUUAGGCUAUAGGCUUUCAGAGGACGUAAUUCUAUGAAACAGACUCAGUGGUAUGCUGGCACCAGCUCCUACUUGCGUCUCUUUUCAACUUUGUGUUCAGUGACUUUGCCUUGGUAGCUUGACAUCAGCCAUGGUGGGAAUAUUUAAACUAAAUAACUGAGAAAAUGAUUCAUAUUAGAGAGCUUUCUUUUUUCCCGGGAACUAAGUGUUAAACAUUUACCAGCACACCACUGCCUAGACUUGUUAGGAAAUUCACAAGUGAGAAGAAAUUCUGUGAUUCCAGGAGAUGAAAGAGGGAAGUGUAAUGAGAAUAUCAACUUGAGUAUUUUAUCCGUUGCUUUCUUUAAUUGGGUCAUUUCAGAGGGUGGGUAGAUUUUGUUAAGACAGUUGAAAUAUUUAGGUAGGUAGAGGGGUGAGUGCAGUUGAAGAGUAAAGGCUGUUUGGGGCAGACAAAAGAAUGAUAGCACUCUUUCAAGUGCUCUGCCACCAGCAGUAAAAGUCGGGAGAAGGACCUAGCACCAGGACACGUGAUCUGUCCGGCGUAAGCGAGUGCUGAGUCAAAGGCCUGCAAUUCAGGCCCCUGCUCUGGGGCACGGUCAGUUUCAGCCAGGCCCAACUCUCUUUCCCAGGUCCAUGGCGUGGAUGGCACCCAGAAUCCAGCAGGGGAGUGCUGGUGGAUACACCUGGGAGGGCCUGGUGGAGGAUCAUUUGCGUGCAGAAAUAAGGAAAUAGACAUAUUUGAGCUGGAAGAAAAUCUUACAUGUCUGAUCCAAUUCUCUCAUUUCACAGAUAAGGAAAAGGGGCCCCAAAGAGUGAAGAGGGGAUGUCCUGAGGUCAUGAGGCUGGCUUACAGCAAGGAUCUGGACCAGACAGCAGGGUGGGACCCUCAGCUGUCCCCAUACUUGCUGCUUGAUAUUGGAUAGGUUAUUUAGGCUCUAUGUGUUUUCUCAUAAACACAUAGAGGUUAGGUAAAAAUGGUGGUGUGAGAAUGAACUAAUACAUGUAAAGAGCUUGCAUGUAGUAAGCUCUCAAUAAAUAUUAAUAAUACUGGGCACAGUGGCUCACACCUGUAAUCCCAGCACUUUGAGAGGCCAAGGCGGGUGGAUCCCUUGAGGUCAGGAGUUUGAGAACGCCCUGACAAACAUGGUGAAACCCCAUCUCUACUAAAAAUACAAAAAAUUAGCCAGGCAUGGUGGUGGGUGCCUGUAAUCCCAGCUGCUCGGGAGGCUGAGGCAAGAGAAUCACUUGAACCUGAGAGGUGGAGGUUGCUUUGAGCCCAGAUCAUGCCACUGCACUCCAGCCUAGGUGACAGAACCAGACUUCAUCUCAAAAAAAAAAAAAUUAAUAAUAUAGAGCCCUUGUGUUGACACUAUUCUCUUUUACAGCCAGAAAGAGAGAAAGAUUACAGAAAAUAAAAAUAUAUUAAUAUAUUAAAGGCAUAAUACUGUGAAUUAAUACUGAUUAAUUCAAUAUACUAUUAUAUCAAAAACCAGGAUACUAAUAAUAAAUAAUAUAUGGAAAACCACCAUACACAUUGGUAAAACAUUAACAUUUUCAAAUCUCCAAUCCAAGAAUUUUCCCCAAAUCCAGAUUGUGCAGGUAUUUUAGUGAAUGAUUCACCCUACAGAAUUACUUAUUACAUUUUUCUUUAAACUUCAAUGGAUUUGUAGCUGAAUGAGGGAUCAGGUAAUCACCAGACAUCUUGGAAGGGCACAUGAUCCCUCAGGCCUUUUCUUGGAGAAUGUUUAAAGAAACCUCUUCCUUCCCAUUAGGGAGGCCGACCAUGAGUCCCUUUGUGUUGACAGUGAAGGUGUCUGGGGCUACACCUCUUUCACAUGCUCUGCCACCAGCAGUAAAAGUCAGAAGGCCCUGGCACAGGGCACACCUGAUCUGUUCGGCAUAAGUGCUGAGUCAAAAGCCUGCAAUUAAGGCCAGUGGCUGGGAGGAGGCCUGGUCCCAGCCUCUCCUUGAUUUGCCUCACCCCACCCAAACACAGGUCAUGUUCAUCAUCUGCUAGCCAGCAAGGAAGAUGUGUGGGGUACAGGUUACAGGGACUGAGCCCGGAGCCUGACUUUCUGGGCUCUACCACUCGUUGUCUUCAUUUCCAAAGGCAAAGCACUUGACCUCUCUGAGCCUCCAUUUCUCAUCCAUAAAAUGGGGAUGAUGAUAAAAGUGACUGCUUCAUAGGAUUGUUGAGAGGAUCAACUCAAGUAAUAUGUGAAAAGUGGCACAUAAUAAGUACUCUGUUUCAUGUUUCUAAUUAAUUUUAUUUUUUUUAGGUUUUUUACUGUGGUAAAAUAUAUGUAACAUAAAAUUUACUAUUUUACUAUUUUUAAGUGUAAGUGGCGUUGAAUACAUUGUGGCAUUGAAUACAUUCACACUGUCAUGCAACCAUCAACACCAUCCACCUCCAGCCUUCUUCGUCAUCCCAAACUGAAACUCUACUCAUUAAACAAUAACUCCUCAUUCCCGCUUCCCCUUAGCCUCUGGGAACCAUUGUUCUUUGCCCAUUUUUAAAUGGAGGUUGUUGCUGGGUUGUGGGAGUUCUUUAUUCUGGAUAUUAAUCCUUUACCAAAUAGAUAAUUUGAUUUUUUUUCCUAUUCUGUGUGUUGCCUUGACUAUGUCCUUUCAUGCACAAAAUAUUUUAAUUUUGAUGAAGUCUAGUUUACCUAUUUUUUCUUGUAUUGCCUGUGUUUUGGUGUUAAUUCCAAGAAAUCAUUGCAAAAUUCAAUGUCAUGAAAUUUUGCCCCUUUCUUCUAAGAGUUUUAUAGUUUUAGCUCUUAUGUUUAGGUCAUUGAUGACUUUGAGUUAAUUUUUGUUUAUGAUGUAAGGUAAUGGUACAACUUCAUCCUUUUGCAUGUGGAUAUCCAGUUUUCCCAGCACUAUUUAUUGAAAAAAAGACUGUCUUUUCUCCAUUGAGUGGUCUUGGCAUCCUAGUUGAAAAUCAUUUGACCCUAUAUAUUAAGGUUUAUUUCUGAUUUCAUUGGUCUAUGAGUCUGUCUUUAUGCCAGGACCACUCUGUUUUGAUUACGGUAGCUUUAUAGCAAGUUUUGAAAUCAGGAAGUGUGAGACCUUCAACUUUGUUCUUCAUUUUUCUGGAUGUUUUGGCUAUUCUGGGCCCCUUGAGAUUUGAGAAAGAGUUCCCUCUACUGGCAGAUCUAAGACAGUCUGUUGACUCAGGUACCUGAUAAUUUUUGAAGAUGCAUUUAAGAAGUUAAACUAUUGAGAAUAAAAAAAUCUUAGCUAGGCUUUAUUUUAUUUUUCUGAUCGGUUAGAGACUCUUGGAGACUUCUCUUUCUUCUCAAUCAAUUUGACUGAGGUAUAAUUAAAAAAAAAUAAAACAUACUGAUAUGGCUUGGCUGUGUCCCCACCCAAAAUCUCAUCUUGAAUUAUAAUCCCCAUAAUCAUCAUAAUCCCCACGUGUCAAGAGAGAGACCAGGUGGAAGUAAUUGAAUCAUGGGGGCAGUUUCCCCGAUGUUGUUCUCGUGAUAGUGAGUGAGUUCUCACGAGAUCUGAUGGUUUAUGUGUUUACUAGUUCUUCCUGCGUUAAUUUUCCUUCCUGCCACCAUGUGAAGAAGGGGUCUUGCUUCCCCUUCGCUUUCUUACACGAUUGAAAGUUUCCUGAGGCCUCCCCAGUCCUGCGGAACUGUGAGUCAAUUAAACCUCUUUCCUUUAUAAAUUACCCAGUCUCGGACAGUUCUUUAUAGCAGUAUGAAAACAGACUAAUGCAUAUACAGACACAUACACCUAAGUAACCAUCACUAUCGCAAUCAGGAUAUCAAAUAUUUCUAUCAACCCAAAAAGUUCCUUUGUGAUUUUUGUAGUCAGUCCCCACUCUUGAUUCCCCAUGCCCCAGGCAACCACAGGUCUGCUCCCCGUCAUAUAGACGAGUGUUGUCUGUGUUCAGAUUUCAAAUACAUGGAAUUGCACAAUAUAUGCUCCUAUGUCUAAAUUUUUUUCACUUAGCAUAAUGUUUUCGAAAUUCAUUCAUGUUGUAUUUAUCAGUAGUUUUUAGCAUUGUAUCGCACUGUGGUAUUUCAUUGUAUAUAUCAUCAUUUGUUUAUCCAUUGACCAGUUGAACAUUUGGGCUAUUUCCAGUUUGGGGCUGUUUUGAAUAAAGGUGCCAAGUUCAAGUCUUA
rnacentral:lncRNA from 1 species